GGUGGAUCCAAAAUAUCAUGCGAGCAGAAAAAGUGGUAGGUCUUUGGUGCUCUGUUUGAUUUUAAACCAGAAGCUACGUCAAUGACUGUUCCAGAUCCUGACUUCCAUAAUUUCGACAAGGAUAGAAUGGAAAAAUCUUUUGAUGAGAAUCAAGUCUUGGUUGCUUAUGAUAAUGAUGAUGGCAUGCCACACUAUUAUGAACUGAUUCGCGAUAUGAUAUCUAAAAUCCAUUCAAAGUGCAAUUCUGCUGGUU
rnacentral:misc_RNA from 1 species